CAGUCGCCGCGGUAAUACGAAGGGGGCUAGCGUUACUCGGAAUUACUGGGCGUAAAGGGCGCGUAGGCGGCACGAUUAGUCAGGCGUGAAAUUCCUGGGCUCAACCUGGGGACUGCGCUUGAUACGGUCGAGCUAGAGGAUGGAAGAGGGUUGUGGAAUUCCCAGUGUAGAGGUGAAAUUCGUAGAUAUUGGGAAGAACAUCGGUGGCGAAGGCGGCAACCUGGUCCAUUACUGACGCUGAGGCGCGACAGCGUGGGGAGCAAACAGGAUUAGAUACCCCCGUAGUCCCUGUCUCUUAUAC
rnacentral:rRNA from 1 species